UGCCAGCCGCCGCGGUAAUACGGAGGGUGCAAGCGUUACUCGGAAUUACUGGGCGUAAAGAGCGUGUAGGCGGAUAGAUAAGUUGGAAGUGAAAUCCUAUGGCUCAACCAUAGAACUGCUUCCAAAACUGUCAAUCUAGAAUACGGGAGAGGUAGAUGGAAUUUCUGGUGUAGGGGUAAAAUCCGUAGAUAUCAGAAGGAAUACCGAUUGCGAAGGCGAUCUACUGGAACAUUAUUGACGCUGAGACGCGAAAGCGUGGGGAGCAAAUAGGAUUAGAUACCCUGGUAGUCCACGCCCUAAACGAUGUACACUAGUUGUUGUGAGGCUAGACCUUGCAGUAAUGCAGUUAACACAUUAAGUGUACCGCCUGGGGAGUACGGUCGCAAGAUUAAAACUCAAAGGGAAUAGACGGGGACCCGCACAAGCGGUGGAGCAUGUGGUUUAAUUCGACGAUACGCGAAGAACCUUACCUGGUCUUGACAUAAUAAGAAGUCUUUAGAGAUAGAGAUGUGUCUUGCUUGCAGAAGCUUAUAUACAGGUGCUGCACGGCUGUCGUCAAGCUCUGUCGUGAGAUGUUGGGUUAAGUCCCCAACGAGCGCAACCUUGUCGUUAGUUGCUAACAGUUCGGUUGAGAACUCUACGAGACUGCUUCGCAGUAGGAAGAAGUGAGGACGACGUCAAGUCAUUCAUGGCCUUACGACAGGCUUUCACACGUGCUACAAUGGGUAUACAAAGAGCAGCGAUACCGUGACGUGGAGCGAAUCUCAAAAUGCCUCC
rnacentral:rRNA from 1 species